UACGUAGGGUGCGAGCGUUGUCCGGAAUUACUGGGCGUAAAGAGCUCGUAGGUGGUUUGUCGCGUUGUUCGUGAAAACUCACGGCUUAACUGUGAGCGUGCGGGCGAUACUGUGCGACUAGAGUGCAGAAGGGGCAACUGGAAUUCUCGGUGUAGCGGUGAAAUGCGUAGAUAUCGAGAGGAACACCUGCGGCGAAGGCGGGUUGCUGGGCUGACACUGACGCUGAUGCGCGAAAGCCAGGGGAGCGAACGGG
rnacentral:rRNA from 1 species